UGGCUUCCUGACAGUUUACUUUUCAUAAGACUCUGCGUAAGUUCUGAAAAUUCUCACAUCACCAGAGUGACAGAGAUCCACCUAUUAGUAUCUGAAUAAUAAGUCAUCGACUUUUUUUUUCAAGCUGAAAAUAUCUUUAUUUAAGACAUUUUAUUUGAAAACACUCUGGGUUGUAACUAUCCCAAACAAGCAAUAAAUGCACAUAAAUUAUCUGUGGUAAUGAUUCACUCUUAGGCUACAUUCCUUAGCAACUCUGAACUCAAGAGAAUGAACACAUAUUUCAAGUGUCCGAAUUAAGUAGAAUUACGAAAAACUGGAGAGCAAAAUAUUUUUUUAAAGGAUGAAAAUGUCUAAACCCAUGCAAGGUCAAGCUGAAAUGACCUUUACUUGGGCAGGGUCCUGUGGUCUGUACUCUGCUGCUGCCUUCCUUUCACACGGUGAUGCCACCUAUUCGCCAAGCGGAUUCAGUGUCUGAAUCUAGAAAUGUGGUUCAAGCCAGAAGGUUUUCUGAUCAUGAAAGAAGCAUUUCUCAUCUUGUCUAAACUACACCCUCUUUAAAAAUCAUAACUGUAAAACUUCCUGUAACAUACCCGGAGUUCUGAAUAAAUAAUAGUAAACCAAAGUAACUUUAAAAGUUUAAAUUUUUCCCUUUUAAAGUUUUGCUUUACACAUCAGUCAUGUGGGAUUGAUGUUAACCUUGUGCCUGGUUGCUGGCUACAAGCCUUUCUCUUCCAGGUCACUGAGGAGGGCAGAUAAGUAAGAGUUUAUUUUCAACAUCAACUCUCUCUGCUGCUUGUUCAAGUGAUAUGCAUGUAUGUCCUGGGGCUUCUCUGGUUGGGGCGGGUGAGAGGUAAAACAAGCAGGCUUCUUCCCUUGGGACUCGGGACAAUCUGUAACCCACUGCUGGCCUCAGGCAUGGGGAGGGAUACAGGAUUUCACUUCACCUUCAAGCCAUCCUUCUUCUAGUCCUUGGGGUUUCGUGCGCCUAUUGAUCUUGUAGCUGCCCAGCUGCCCAUUGCAGUGGCGGAUGAGGUCGUCCAUGCUGCUCAUGAGCAGCCCGAGGGUUUCGCAGCCAGGCUCCUUGCCCUCCACCCAGGUGAUCUGGUCGCCCCGGAUGUCCUUGGACGAGUCGCUCUUCUGGCUGACCAGCUGCCCGUCCGUGAACUUGCCGGUGUCGUGCAGCGCGCGUCUCGCGGCCCAGGAAGUCGUCUGUCACGCAGAUGCCGUGCUUGUUCAUGCACGGCACGAUGUACUGGAGCGCCAGCUUCAGCGCGGUCAGCGGCUUCGUCUGCCCGUUGGGCCGCGGUCCCCUGGUGCCGCCGCCAGGGUUCAGCGCCUCCCCGGGGCUCAGCAGGGUGCGCCCGGCGAACACCGGGUGGGGGAGCCUCGAGGUCGCGGCGGCCUCUGCUGGGGCCCCCAGCGGCGUCCCCGGGGACGGACACUGACAUGGGAUCGGCGCCGUCCCCGCGCAGUCCCGCCGUUGUCCGGGCCGCUCCCCCAACCCCAGGAGCCCCUUUGGGCCUGGCCUCGCCGCUCUGGCACACGAGCUUGUGCUUCUUCCAGUCCCGGCGCUGGUGCUCCUUGGAGCAGUAGAAAGAGCUCCGGCAGCGGCCGCAGCACAGCAGGUUCUCUAUCUUCCCGCACAGCUCGUAGUACUGGCGCUUGCGCUCGCUGGCGCUUGGCCCGCUGAGCCCGCCGCUGUCACUCGCCUUGGCAGAGCAGGCCGGGCGGCCGGCCCGGGGCGGCAGAGGGGCCGUUAGAGCGUCCGUCAGAGCGUCAUGCCGGGCCGCGCGCUCCGGAGACCCUCAGCGCCGCAUCGCGGCCCGCACGCCUUUUGCUUGCAAGGCAGGCGCCAGAACCACUGAGCUAAAUCCCCAGCCCUGUGGCAGUUAAUCUUGAUUGUCAACUUGACUGGAUUAAGAGACUUCCAGAGGUCCUGCAGAGCCUGCCUGGAUGUCCAGAUCUCAGCUGGACCCAGCUUAGAAUCUGUCGUGUCAGCCUUCAGGACUUCUGCCUGCCGGAGAUACUGCGCGCUCUGCAGGCUCAUCCUCCGCCGCCGCGUCUUCCCGUGAAGCCUCCGUGGGUCUCUUAGGCUCCUCAGAGGGUCCCCGCGGCCCCGCGGGUGCUGCCGGCCGCCGCCAUCUUCCUCUCCUCCAGCUCCUCCUCUCUAGGCGGGGCGGGGCGAUCUGGAAGUUCUCUUUCCUGAGUGUCUUUGGUUCCCCUGUCAGGACUGCUUCAGUGUUCUGAACAAAUUCAAAUGUUUGCCUUUCAUGCUUAUUUUGACUUUACAGCAAAAUCAGAAGUCUUAUGGAACCAGAGCUCAUGAAUAAAGUGAAGACAUACAAUAUUUUUAAGAGCUUGCCUUUCCUUUGAAUGGCAAUCAGCAGCAUUCAACCUUUUUAAUUCACACCUCUUAAAGACAAUCAUGAAAGAGAACCUCCAGAAGUGUUUCAGAAAGUAGCGGGAAAA
ensembl:lncRNA